UUGCUUUGGCAGCACAUAUCCUAAAACUCAAACGAUACACAGAAGACUGGCAUGGCCCCUAUGUGAGGAUGACACACAAAUUCACAGAGCAUUCUAUAUAUUU